UUUCCGUAGGUGAACCUGCGGAAGGAUCAUUAAAGAGAAUAUGCCCUUCGGGGUAGAUCUCCCACCCUUUGUUUAUAUUACCUUUGUUGCUUUGGCAGGCCCGUCUUCGGACCACCGGCUUCGGCUGGUCAGUGCUUGCCAGAGGACCCAAAACUCUUAUUAUUAUGUCGUCUGAGUACUAUAUAAUAGUUAAAACUUUCAACAACGGAUCUCUUGGUUCUG
rnacentral:misc_RNA from 1 species